GGGUGAGGGGUGAUGCGUAGCCGUGGUGGUGAAGUCAGUGAUCCCGUGCUGCCGAGAAAAGCCUCUAGCGAUGUGUGUGCAUGGCCCGUACCCGAAACCGACACAGGUGGUCAGGUAGAGAAUACCAAGGCGCUUGAGAGAACUCGGGUGAAGGAACUAGGCAAAAUGGUGCCGUAACUUCGGGAGAAGGCACGCUGAUAUGUAGGUGAAGUCCCUCGCGGAUGGAGCUGAAAUCAGUCGAAGAUACCAGCUGGCUGCAACUGUUUAUUAAAAACACAGCACUGUGCAAACACGAAAGUGGACGUAUACGGUGUGACGCCUGCCCGGUGCCGGAAGGUUAAUUGAUGGGGUUAGCGGUAACGCGAAGCUCUUGAUCGAAGCCCCGGUAAACGGCGGCCGUAACUAUAACGGUCCUAAGGUAGCGAAAUUCCUUGUCGGGUAAGUUCCGACCUGCACGAAUGGCGUAACGACUUCUCCGCUGUCUCGACCACAGGCCCGGUGAAAUUGCAGUACGAGUAAAGAUGCUCGUUUCGCGCGGCAGGACGGAAAGACCCCGGGACCUUUACUAUAGCUUGGUAUUGGUGUUUGGUUCGGCUUGUGUAGGAUAGGUGGGAGACUGGGAAGCUGGCACGCUAGUGUUGGUGGAGUCGUUGUUGAAAUACCACUCUGGUCGUUCUGGGCAUCUCAACCUCGGGCCCUGAUCGGGUUCAGGGACAGUGCCUGGUGGGUAGUUUAACUGGGGCGGUUGCCUCCUAAAGGGUAACGGAGGCGCCCAAAGGUUCCCUCAGCUUGGUUGGCAAUCAGGUGUUGAGUGUAAGUGUAUAAGGGAGCUUGACUGUGAGACUGACGGGUCGAGCAGGUGCGAAAGCAGGGACUAGUGAUCCGGCACUGGCUGGUGGAAGCGGUGUCGCUCAACGGAUAAAAGGUACCCCGGGGAUAACAGGCUGAUCUUGCCCAAGAGUCCAUAUCGACGGCAUGGUUUGGCACCUCGAUGUCGGCUCGUCGCAUCCUGGGGCUGGAGUAGGUCCCAAGGGUUGGGCUGUUCGCCCAUUAAAGCGG
rnacentral:rRNA from 1 species